UACGUAGGGUGCAAGCGUUGUCCGGAAUUAUUGGGCGUAAAGAGCUCGUAGGCGGCUUGUCGCGUCGACCGUGAAAACUCGCAGCUCAACUGCGAGCCUGCGGUCGAUACGGGCAGGCUAGAGUUCGGUAGGGGAGACUGGAAUUCCUGGUGUAGCGGUGAAAUGCGCAGAUAUCAGGAGGAACACCGAUGGCGAAGGCAGGUCUCUGGGCCGAUACUGACGCUGAGGAGCGAAAGCGUGGGGAGCGAACAGG
rnacentral:rRNA from 1 species